ACUCCUACGGGAGGCAGCAGUGGGGAAUAUUGCACAAUGGGCGCAAGCCUGAUGCAGCGACGCCGCGUGAGGGAUGACGGCCUUCGGGUUGUAAACCUCUUUCAGUACAGACGAAGCGUAAGUGACGGUAUGUACAGAAGAAGCACCGGCCAACUACGUGCCAGCAGCCGCGGUAAUACGUAGGGUGCGAGCGUUGUCCGGAAUUACUGGGCGUAAAGAGCUCGUAGGUGGUUUGUCGCGUUGUUCGUGAAAACCUGAGGCUUAACCUUGGGCGUGCGGGCGAUACGGGCAGACUGGAGUACUGCAGGGGAGACUGGAAUUCCUGGUGUAGCGGUGGAAUGCGCAGAUAUCAGGAGGAACACCGGUGGCGAAGGCGGGUCUCUGGGCAGUAACUGACGCUGAGGAGCGAAAGCGUGGGGGAGCGAACAGGAUUAGAUACCCUGUAGGUCAGUC
rnacentral:rRNA from 1 species